AAAAGCUGAUUCUGAGUCACUUUGCCAAGGAAGCAUGAUGUGAUUACAUUUGAAAUGCUAUGGUCAUCUUACAUCCUCUGAGACUGUGUUCCAGAAAUGGCCUUAGUACUAAGCUGUGAGAAAAGCCGUGGAUCUGCCAAAGGUUACGUAUGCUGGAAGAAGACACUUGCUCUGUGACUGCACCCUCCCAGAUUUUGGAAGGACUUAAACCUUGAAGAAUAGCUGAUCUUGUGGGUACCAGCUUCCUACUGGCUUUGAAAACCUGUGAAAAUGGAGGCUAAUACUGGAAAACCUGACAGACCAGCCAUGCUGUUUUGUCAGAGGAGAUUUUCUGCUGCCACUUUUAAACUGCACUGCAAUUCUACACCUUGCCUCAAGAUGACUGACCUGAAAAGCAAUGAAGACAACCUAAGGGUUUCUUCUGAUUUAUGUGAACCUAAAUUUCUCUGCUGUUGUGAUGAGGAUAACCGUUAUUCAAAGAGUGGUAUUCACAGGAAAGACUCCUUAGGUAUGGCUAUGCUCUGUCUUGGAAAUGUCUUCACUAUAGCUGAUGGAUUUAAUCCCAGAAUGAAUGAUGUUGAGAGUGGGUUUGCUCCGGAAAACUUUGAGGAAGUGAAAACCUUCCACACUGAGGAAAACAGAAUUUCACCCAAUACCCCCUCAGUGACAGAGAGGACUGCUAACAGAAACAAGCCUAAGGAGAGAACUCUGUUGCAAAAACUCUGUUAAUGCAAUUUAAUGAAAACAUAAUAAGAGUUUGUUAUGAUUUUCUUCCUCCAAAACAGUACGUCACAUGUUCAAGCCAGUAAAAAUGUUUUGAUACUCAGCAAAAUUUCUUCAGUGAGGUUUUAGUGACUCCAGUAUUUUUUCUCCAGAAACCCUCUUUGAAUCUUUCAUAAGCGUGCCAGUUUUCUGGUGGGAAAAAAAAAAAAUAAACCUGAACAUAAGACAAAUUUGUUGGGGGCC
rnacentral:lncRNA from 1 species